CGGAGGGUGCAAACGUUGUCCGGAAUCACUGGGCGUAAAGAGCAUGUAGGUGGCUUUGUAAGUUAACGAUUAAAGACCGACGCUUAACGUCGGGAGUGUUGUUAAUACUGCAUGGCUUGAGGAUAGCAGGGGUAAGCGGAACUUUAGGUGUAGGAGUGAAAUCCGUAGAUGUCUAAAGGAACACCAAUGGCGAAGGCAGCUUACUGGGCUAUUUCUGACACUGAGAUGCGAAAGCGUGGGUAGCGAAAGGGAUUAGAUACCCCUGUAGUCCACGCCGUAAACGAUGCCGACUAGCUCUUGGAGAGUAUCGACCCUCUCUUGGGGCGAAGCUAACGCGUUAAGUCGGCCGCCUGGGGAGUACGAGCGCAAGCUUA
rnacentral:rRNA from 1 species